UACGUAGGGUGCAAGCGUUGUCCGGAAUUAUUGGGCGUAAAGAGCUCGUAGGCGGUCUGUCGCGUCUGCUGUGAAAACUCAGGGCUUAACCCUGAGCUUGCAGUGGGUACGGGCAGACUAGAGUGCGGUAGGGGAGACUGGAAUUCCUGGUGUAGCGGUGAAAUGCGCAGAUAUCAGGAGGAACACCGGUGGCGAAGGCGGGUCUCUGGGCCGGUAACUGACGCUGGAGGAGCGAAAGCCAUGGGGAGCGAA
rnacentral:rRNA from 1 species